ACUCCUACGGGUGGCUGCAGUGGGGAAUAUUGGACAAUGGGCGAAAGCCUGAUCCAGCCAUGCCGCGUGUGUGAAGAAGGCCUUUUGGUUGUAAAGCACUUUAAGUGGGGAGGAAAAGCUUAUGGUUAAUACCCAUAAGCCCUGACGUUACCCACGGAAUAAGCACCGGCUAACUCUGUGCCAGCAGCCGCGGUAAUACAGAGGGUGCAAGCGUUAAUCGGAAUUACUGGGCGUAAAGCGCGCGUAGGUGGUUAUUUAAGUCAGAUGUGAAAGCCCCGGGCUUAACCUGGGAACUGCAUCUGAUACUGGAUAACUAGAGUAGGUGAGAGGGGAGUAGAAUUCCAGGUGUAGCGGUGAAAUGCGUAGAGAUCUGGAGGAAUACCGAUGGCGAAGGCAGCUCCCUGGCAUCAUACUGACACUGAGGUGCGAAAGCGUGGGUAGCAAACAGGAUUAGAUACCCUGGUAGUCCACGCCGUAAACGAUGUCUACCAGUCGUUGGGUCUUUUAAAGACUUAGUGACGCAGUUAACACAAUAAGUAGACCGCCUGGGGAGUACGGCCGCAAGGUUAAAACUCAAAUGAAUUGACGGGGGCCCGCACAAGCGGUGGAGCAUGUGGUUUAAUUCGAUGCAACGCGAAGAACCUUACCUGGUCUUGACAUAGUGAGAAUCUUGCAGAGAUGCGAGAGUGCCUUCGGGAAUUCACAUACAGGUGAUGCAUGGCUGUCGUCAGCUCG
rnacentral:rRNA from 1 species